AUCGCUUCUCGGCCUUUUGGCUCUGAUCAAGUGUAGUAUCUGUUCUUAUCAGUUUAAUAUCUGAUAUGUCCUCUAUCUGAGGACAUUAUAUUAAAUGUGUUUUUAGAGUAGGGAGAUGGAAUAGGAGCUUGCUCUGUGUACUCCACGCAUCGACCUGGUAUUGCAGUACCUCUGGGAAUGGUGCACACACA